rnacentral:rRNA from 1 species
GAGGGGAGUGAAAGAGAACCUGAAACCGUGGACCUACAAGCGGUCAGAGACGGGGCGACCCGGUGAUGGCGUGCCUUUUGUAGAAUGAGCCUGCGAGUUACCGUAUGCAGCGAGGUUAAGGGAUAGGAGUCCCGGAGCCGUAGGGAAACCGAGUCUGAACAGGGCGGCAGUUGCGUGCGGUAGACCCGAAGCCAAGUGAUCUAUCCGCGUCCAGGCUGAAACCUGAGUAAAAUCAGGCGGAGGGCCGAACCUAAAUCCGCUGAAAAGGGUUGGGAUGAGGUGCGGAUCGGAGUGAAAGGCUAAACAAACUUGGAGAUAGCUGGCACUCCCCGAAAUAGCUUUAGGGCUAGCCUCGCACGGACCGUCCCGGAGGUAAAGCACUGGAUGGAUGCGGGCCCUUCACCGGGUACCAAGUUCAACCAAACUCAGAAUGCCGGGACGAAAUAUGCGGGAGUCAGACUACGGCUGAUAAGGGCCGUGGUCGAGAGGGAAACAGCCCGGACCGCCGGCUAAGGUCCCCAAGACGCGCCAAGUGGGAAAGGAAGUGCGAUUGCAGAGACAGCCAGGAGGUUGGCUUAGAAGCAGCCAUACCUUCAAAGAGUGCGUAACAGCUCACUGGUCGAGUAGUCGUGCGCCGACAAUGUAACGGGGCUAAGCGCGUCACCGAAGCCGCGGCACAGCGCGAGACGCUGUGGGUAGGGGAGCAUUCCGCGUACGGACGAAGGCAGGGCGGGAGCCUUGCUGGACGGAGCGGAAGAGAGGAUGCAGGCAUGAGUAACGAAAAGACGGGUGGGAUCCCCGUCCGCCGAAAGCCCGAGGUUUCCAGGGUAAAGGCAAUCUUCCCAAGGGUCAGUCGGCCCCUAAGGCGAGGCUGAAGAGCGUAGCCGAUGGGAAACGGGUCAACAUUCCCGUACCGCUUCCUGUUUCGAUGGAACGACGCAUAGGGCGAAGCGCGGCCGGGCGACGGUAGUCCCGGUCCAAGCGCCGACCCGUUGAGGCCGCCAGGCAAAUCCGGCGGCCGAGGCGAGGCGCGAGAGCGAGCCGAGCUACGGCGAGGCGAAGCGCGUGGAGUCGUCGUGCCGAGAAAGAGUUUCUAAGGACAGGCAGGAAGCGACCGUACCGAAAACCGACACAGGUGGGCGAGCUGAGCAUGCUCAGGCGCACGGAAGAACUCGCGUCAAGGAACUCGGCAAAAAGCAUACGUAACUUCGGGAGAAGUAUGGCCGCUGGGGGCGAAAGUUCCCGGCGGCUGCAGAGAAACGGCCCAAGCGACUGUUUACCAAAAACACAGGUCCAUGCGAACCAGCGAUGGGAGGUAUAUGGACUGACACCUGCCCGGUGCUGGAAGGUUAAGAGGAGCCGUCAGCGCAAGCGAAGCGGCGAAUUGAAGCCCCAGUAAACGGCGGCCGUAACUAUAACGGUCCUAAGGUAGCGAAAUUCCUUGUCGGGUAAGUUCCG